UACGAAGGGGGCUAGCGUUGUUCGGAAUUACUGGGCGUAAAGCGUGCGCAGGCGGCUUCUCAAGUCAGGGGUGAAAGCCCGGAGCUCAACUCCGGAACUGCCAUUGAAACUGUUGGACUUGAGUACGAGAGAGGUGAGUGGAAUUCCCAGUGUAGAGGUGAAAUUCGUAGAUAUUGGGAAGAACACCGGUGGCGAAGGCGGCUCACUGGCUCGUAACUGACGCUCAGGCGCGACAGCGUGGGGAUCAAACAGG
rnacentral:rRNA from 1 species